CGAUAGGACAGGUGAUGUUUAAAGUCUCGCAGGCUUCAAUGAAAUGGCGUUUGUUCUCGUUCUCCGCUCGAUGAACGAGUGUGUGUGUGGUUUGCUCUCCUGUAUUGGCGCGUUGGAAGAACUGCUCGUGUGUGUGAUUGCUGCUCUCGACAAUUUAGCGAUUAUUUCCGUGCUGAUGACCUGUUGAUCCGAAAACGCGGUGUGCGUGCAACUCCGCGGGGUUUCAGCUACCUAAUGUUCGCUCUUGUGUUCAUACUCGGCUGAGUUGCGAGUGUCCAUUUGUACAGAAUAUACUGCAUUGCAACCCACUUCUGCCUUUAGUGAGACUGUUACGUCCAGUCAUCAAAGUGAGUCAUAGCGCAAUGUUGGAAGGUACGUGAGUAUUUUGUUUGUUUUAUGGUGAAAUAUGGGGGUUUUACGUGCAAUAAAAAUGUCAAUUGGUUUUAAUUACAGGUUUUAAAUCCUCUCUCGGAUUUAGCGGCCACCGUUUCUUUCCCACUAAAAUUUGAGAUUUAUUUAUUAGUUGUAGUGUUUGCUUUAUAUUUAGU